GGUGAAAUGCUUUUUCUCUCAAGGACAAGCUGUGAUGGGGAGCGAAAUUUAGUAGCGAAAUUCCUGAUGUCACUCUGCCAAGAAGAGCUUCUAGUGAGAAAGUAACUGCCCGUACCGCAAACCGACACAGGUAGUUGAGGAGAGAAUCCUAAGGUGUGCGAGAGAACUCUCGUUAAGGAACUCGGCAAAAUGACCCCGUAACUUCGGGAGAAGGGGUGCUGACCGCAAGGUCAGCCGCAGUGAAUAGGCCCAAGCGACUGUUUAUCAAAAACACAGGUCUCUGCAAAAUCGAAAGAUGACGUAUAGGGGCUGACGCCUGCCCGGUGCUGGAAGGUUAAGAGGAGAGGUUAGCGCAAGCGAAGCUUUGAAUUGAAGCCCCAGUAAACGGCGGCCGUAACAAUAACGGUCCUAAGGUAGCGAAAUUCCUUGUCGGGUAAGUUCCGACCCGCACGAAAGGCGUAACGAUUUGGGCACUGUCUCAACGAGAGACUCGGUGAAAUUAUAGUACCAGUGAAGAUGCUGGUUACCCGCGACAGGACGGAAAGACCCCAUGGAGCUUUACUGCAGUUUGAUGUUGCGUGUUUGUAUCACAUGUACAGGAUAGGUAGGAGCCGAAGAUACCGGGACGCCAGUCUCGGAGGAGGCAACGGUGGGAUACUACCCUUGUGAUAUGACCACUCUAACCCGCUGCUCUUAGCGAGCAGGGAGACAGUGUCAGACGGGCAGUUUGACUGGGGCGGUCGCCUCCAAAAAUGUAACGGAGGCGCCCAAAGGUUCCCUCAGAAUGGUUGGAAAUCAUUCGUAGAGUGUAAAGGCAGAAGGGAGCUUGACUGCGAGGCCUACAAGUCGAGCAGGGACGAAAGUCGGGCUUAGUGAUCCGGUGGUUCCGCAUGGAAGGGCCAUCGCUCAACGGAUAAAAGCUACCCUGGGGAUAACAGGCUUAUCUCCCCCAAGAGUUCACAUCGACGGGGAGGUUUGGCACCUCGAUGUCGGCUCAUCGCAUCCUGGGGCUGUAGUCGGUCCCAAGGGUUGGGCUGUUCGCCCAUUAAAGCGGUACGCGAGCUGGGUUCAGAACGUCGUGAGACAGUUCGGUCCCUAUCCGUCGCGGGCGUUGGAAAUUUGAGAGGAGCUGUCCUUAGUACGAGAGGACCGGGAUGGACACACCGCUGGUGUACCAGUUGUUCUGCCAAGAGCAUCGCUGGGUAGCUAUGUGUGGACGGGAUAAACGCUGAAAGCAUCUAAGCGUGAAGCCCCCCUCAAGAUGAGAUUUCCCAUCACUUUAAGUGAGUAAGACCCCUGAGAGAUGAUCAGGUAGAUAGGUUGGGAGUGGAAGUACAGCGAUGUAUGGAGCGGACCAAUACUAAUCGGUCGAGGACUUAACC
rnacentral:rRNA from 1 species